rnacentral:rRNA from 1 species
GCGAAAAUAUUCGCGUUCUCCAGAGCGUAAAGUCUGAGACGUAAUAUUAGUAGUCGAUAGUCGGCGCAUUUCUCGAGGGUAAGCGUCGUAACCGAUACCGAAAGGCUAGCGAAGCGACGAGGUUGAGGUCUAGUCUCUUUACGGACACUAGUUACCAGCCGAAUUCGCNUUAGUCGCUAGACCGCAGUAUGUAUCGAGCGCCUAUAAAAUAGAGGACGUUCGCCGUAAAGGUUCGUUCGUACGAUGGAAAGUCGAUUAACUAGUCGGUUUACCUGCUCGCAGGCGCCGUUCUAAUCUAGUCGGUCUUAGAAAUCGUCGACGACGCGACGUCCAGGCGUUAACGGCGUCAGAGUCGGUCACCCGUCCGACCCGUCUUGAAACACGGACCAAGGAGUCUAACAUACGCGCGAGGCAAUAGGCGGAAAACCUAGAGCCGUAAUAAAAGUGAAGACUUAGUUACUAAGUACGAGGUACGAUCCUAGAAUCUAACGAUAUCUAGGCGCAGUACCGUCUCGUCCCUAAGACACGUUCUAAGGGCGAAGAUAGAGUGCGUACGUUGGGACCCGAAAGAUGGUGAACUAUGCCUGAGCAGAGCGAAGCCAGAGGAAACUCUGGUGGAGGUUCGUAGCGGUUCNGACGUGCAAAUC